rnacentral:lncRNA from 1 species
UUUUUUUUUUUUUUGGGGUUUUUUUUUUUUUUUUGUCUUUCUAGGGCCGUCCCCACAGCACAUGGAGGUUCCCAGGCUAGGGGUCAAAUCGGAGCUGUAGCCGCCAGCCUACACCACAGCCAAACAACAUGGGAUCUGACCCAAGCCUGUGACCUACACCACAGCUCAGGGAAAUGCUGGACCCUUAGCCCACUGAGUAAGACCAGGGAUCCAACCUGCAUCCUCAUGGAUGCUAGUGAGAUUUGUUUCCACUGAGCCACGACAGGAACUCCUGAAUUCCAUAUUCUAACCUGCCUUUCACCCUGUGCACAUGGCCAGUGGCCACAGCUUUCCCACUGGUCAGUGAUGGUUAGGGGUUAAGGAAAAACAUGGGAGCACCUCACCACCUGGAUAGUGGUGUUCUCCAUCUCUCUUGCGUGCUCUGAGUCAGCCUGGGGCACCUGCUCUGCCACUCUGAUACCCACAGCCAGGAGUACGAGAGGGUAUGCAUCCCACAGGGAAAGUCUUAACCACUAGGGACAGCAGCUGACUUUCUCGCCUUCUCUCUUUCCCAUUUCCCAGCGAUUCACUCCCAUUCCUUAGGAUCACUUCCCAAAUCGUUCAGCUGCCAUGCAGGCCCAGGUCCCUGGCUCGGCUUUGGGGAGUAAAAGUGGUGAGGACAGCCGCCAACUUAUUUUACUUUGUGUAAAUUCCUUUGUCUCCCUGGGCUUCUGUUUCCUCUUCAUUGAAAUGAGAGAAUCAAGCUUGUUCAUUCCUUCCAGCACUAAGAGUCUAAAACAUAGAGGAAAAAUUGUCAAGAAUUCCAGGAAAUCCCAUCUUCCUCACUAAUUCCUUUAUCAACAUUCAAGUGAUGUAACUACAAUCCAGACAAGGCUUCCAUAGUUUCAAAUGUUUCCAUUCCCCUUGUGUGGGUGUGACAAUUCUGCUUUAGAGUUUCUGUUAUCUCACACCUUAUCCUGUAGUAGUAAGAAAAAAAGCUAUCAGAGAAGUAGUAAUACAGAUGGUCACAGGGCCACUCCCCUCAAUGCUUUCCUACCAUCCACCAAGACUGCCUCUCCAGGGAAACAUGGAAUGGAGCCUGGUCUCUGUAAAUGACAGUGGCAUUGCUGAGCCCAGUGGUCAUGAAGGGCAGGGACAGAGAUGACAUGCUGUCAGCAAAUACUGGUUUCGGUCACAUGAUGCCAUAAAGGAAUAAAGAUGGCCAAACCAAUCUCUGCUCAGAAACUUCACCUUGAGGGUGCAGAUCUGGAAAAACUGGAUUGAAUACACUUUAGGAAAUAGCAGAUUCCCAUUCAGUUUCAAAGUAUAAGGCAGUUUAAAGUUGAAACAAAAUCUUUAGUGCCAAUAAAGCAUCCUGAUGCUUCUUUAUUGGUUUCAGAUUUGAGUAGCAGAAGUCAGGAGAAAGGUAGAUAAUGGCCAGAGGCUGGAUUAUUUGGUGGGGGACAGUAGUAUCAGGACCCUGGAAAGAGCUCCUAGCUUCUAGGCAGUGUGGGUCUAGGGUGAUAACUUCCUUCAUGAAGGCAGCUUUGCAGAAGUUUGUAGGGGGUAGGGUGCUAAAGCUGCCACCCAGUGGAGGUUUUGGUGAGGUUCUUUGUCCAGAUUUAUAAAUCCAUCUACUUCCUUAGUCCCAGCUCCAAUCACCCUUCCAGUGAAUGACCUUCUGAUUGGUCUUUGUGCCCCUCUCCCUCUAUUCUUUCUGCAUAUAGCAGCCAGCAUGUUCUUUAAAAUGUAAAUCACAUCCUCUGCUCCCCCCAACCUAAAUUCCCCUGGGGAUUCUCACUGCAUUAGAGAAAACCACAAGGUCCUACAUGAACUUACCCAGCUCUUCAAACCAUCUCCUCCCUUGCCUCACACUCAUGCUCCAACCACACUGCCCUUCUUUCUCUUCCUGGAGUAGUCAAAGUAUCUGGGCUCUUCUGGGACUCUGUGUUGGUGACAGGCUCUGUUUUGCACCCAGGUGUCCACCUGCCUGGCUCCUCGCUAUUCAGGUACCAAUUCAAAUAUCACCUCUUUGUAAAGAUGUUCAUUCCCUGACUCCCUAAAGUCCCUGUGUUGCAUCACCUUGUUUGUAUUUGCAGCUUUGUCACUAUCUGAAAAUAUCUUAAUUACAUAUUGACUUGUUUGUUUUCUUUUCUCACCUAGUAGAAUGUGUGCUCUAGGAGAGCAGGAGCCUCAAUGCUUUGUUGACCGCUGUGUCCUCAGCAGCAUGGCUAUACUUGGGACUUAUUAAGUGCUCAAUAAAUAUGAGUUGAAUUGCUGACUUCCAAAUAUUCUUAAGGAUCAUCAGUUGUGUUCGGAGGGAACCAAAGUCCUCCAAAAAAAAGAGCACUCCCCAUGCCCAGGGGAAUGCAGCAGGAGGAACUCAAAAGAUGAAAAUUAGGCUGAUGUUGGAGAUGAGGAGUUGUUCUUGUCCUCGGCAAUUCCUUCUGAUGAAGGCUCUUGUGCAGUGAAAAGCCAUGAAAACAGGAGGCCAAGCCUUUCAUUCAUGUCUGAUACCAGGCAACACGUAAUAUAUCCUAUCACCAGGGUCUGGGAACAGAACCUGUGACAGCAGGCUGCUCUGAGACUGACCAUCUGGCAGGCAGCGUGCCGCUAGCCACACCCUGAAGAUGCACAGGGUCUUCCCUCCCAUUUCCAGACACUUCCAAUGCAGUACCAGGGGUAUUAGGAAGAGAAUGACAGUCACUGAAUUGAUCCCCAGAAGUUGCAUGAAUGGAAGUGGCCACUGGGAUGGCCUCACCACCUUUUCUUGGGGUAACAGAGCUGGCCUUGGGGUCAACUAUGAACCAGAAUUUGUUGC